GAUGAACGCUGGCGGCGUGCCUAAUACAUGCAAGUCGAGCGAACAGACGAGGAGCUUGCUCCUCUGACGUUAGCGGCGGACGGGUGAGUAACACGUGGAUAACCUACCUAUAAGACUGGGAUAACUUCGGGAAACCGGAGCUAAUACCGGAUAAUAUAUUGAACCGCAUGGUUCAAUAGUGAAAGACGGUUUUGCUGUCACUUAUAGAUGGAUCCGCGCCGCAUUAGCUAGUUGGUAAGGUAACGGCUUACCAAGGCAACGAUGCGUAGCCGACCGGAGAGGGGGAUCGGCCACACUGGAACUGAGACACGGUCCAGACUCCUACGGGAGGCAGCAGUAGGGAAUCGUCCGCAAUGGGCGAAAGCCUGACGGAGCAACGCCGCGUGAGUGAUGAAGGUCUUCUGAUCGUAAAACUCUGUUAUUAGGGAAGAACAAAUGUGUAAGUAACUAUGCACGUCUUGACGGUACCUAAUCAGAAAGCCACGGCUAACUACGUG
rnacentral:rRNA from 1 species